GCUAAAACCGGAAUAGGUAGGCAGACAAGCAUUUGACUGCUAUUAAAGUGGCUAAGGCCAUGAACAUGGAUGGACCUGCGGUGCAUUAGCUAGUUGGUGAGGUAACGGCCCACCAAGGCGACGAUGCAUAGCCGGCCGUGAGAGGGCGGACCGGCCACAUUGGGACUGAGACACGGCCCAAACUCCUACGGGAGGCAGCAUG
rnacentral:rRNA from 1 species